GGAAUAUUGGUCAAUGGGCGUAAGCCUGAACCAGCCAAGUAGCGUGCAGGACGACGGCCCUAUGGGUUGUAAACUGCUUUUAUGCGGGGAUAAAGUGGCGUACGUGUACGUUUUUGUAGGUACCGCAUGAAUAAGGACCGGCUAAUUCCGUGCCAGCAGCCGCGGUAAUACGGAAGGUCCGGGCGUUAUCCGGAUUUAUUGGGUUUAAAGGGAGCGCAGGCGGGGAGCUAAGCGUGACGUGAAAUGUAGCCGCUCAACGGCUGAACUGCGUCGCGAACUGGCUUUCUUGAGUGAGUUCGAUGUUGGCGGAAUUCGUGGUGUAGCGGUGAAAUGCUUAGAUAGCACGAAGAACUCCGAUUGCGAAGGCAGCCAACAAGGCCUUUACUGACGCUAAAGCUCGAAGGUGCGGGUAUCGAACA
rnacentral:rRNA from 1 species